GGGAGUGUUGUCAAGAGGUUUGACAGACAGUUUGGAACCUGUCGCUCUUAGAGGAGCUGAGAGUUCAAAUCUCUCCAUUUCCC
rnacentral:tRNA from 1 species